UCGGGUGCAGUAAGCUUGCAUCUGCUUUCAAAAACCGUACAGCAGCUCUUCCAUCUACUCUCAUUUUCAAGCUUUGAUCAAGAAGCCAGUGUUUUUCUUACUAAGAAGUCCUGCUGCAGAAGCAUCUAUUUAUUUGAUGCUCCUAUGACAUACUCCUGCAAAUGAAGAGGAAUUGAACUAUUUAGACAGAUGCUCUAGGUUGGAUGUUUCUGUAUGAGAGGACAGCUGAUUUACGCCGUGAUUGUUUGCCACCGAGCCGUCCUGCUGCCUCGCAAGCCGCACCCUUUGCUGCCAUCCCGAGGUUUGGAUUUGAUUUCCCUCGAGAAAGAAGCUGUGUUCACAUUCCCCAUCCACCUGUGUUGCCUCAA